AACCGUCCCUGUCAUGUUGGUGUCCUGCUCGUAUCAGAAGAUUCGGUUUUGUCAUUUGCAGUUAGCCAACUCUGUCCUUCGGAGAACUGCUUUCUUCUUCACUUAAUUUAAAGGUGCCAAUGUGUCCUCUUUGGGUGCAGUCCCUCUGCGAUCCCAUCUUGCCACUGUCCUCCCAGUUAACGUCAUUGCCGAUUGUCAGCCUCACGAAAGCUGCUUGAAGACCAGACGCAGAGAGAGGGAGUAACUCAAGUCACCUUUACUGGAAAUCAGUUGGCUGAAGUACUGAAACUGCAGUUCUUGAAGUUGAAGAAAAGGAAGUUCGGCACCUUGACCAGAGGAGCGUGGCCCUUCCUUCCAAACCCUCUCCAGACAUACCUUCCCAGCAUUGCUCCAGAAAGAUGCGGCAGCUCAAAGGCAAGCCCAAGAAGGAGACGUCCAAGGACAAGAAGGAGCGGAAGCAGGCCAUGCAGGAGGCCCGGCAGCAGAUCACCACGGUGGUGCUGCCCACGCUUGCCGUGGUUGUGCUCCUGAUCGUGGUGUUCGUGUACGUGGCCACGCGCCCCACCAUCACCGAGUGAGCACCGGGGGGGGGGGCAGACUCCCCCAGCAGGGAGCCGGAGCCCAGGAGGGGGAAAACGAAAGAAAAAUGGCUUUCGUAUUCAGAGAUUUUUCCUGAUGCUGAGCUCUAAGCUGGAGCACCCUGUCUUCUCUGGUGUUUGACUUGAUUAAAGUUUCUCCAAUUUCCCUGGGAGGGAAUAGGGAACGUUUUAUCAGUGAAUGUGCCAUACACCUUAUGGUCCACUUCAUGUGCCUUUCAGACUUCAAAGCAGUGUGUGUGUGUGUGCGUGUGUGUGUGUGUGUGUGUGUGUGUGUGUGUGUGUUUCUUUUUCGCUCCUGAAAUCGAUAUGUAGCUCCACCUGGUGAGAGGAGGAAUCUUCUGGGUCAUGAAUCAGUUGGAAUCAGUGCUCACCCCAUCCCCAUUGUUUAGAACAUGACUCUUUGCCUACAUGUGGUUCACGAUUUCCAAAGGGACUGUAUUUCUUCUCUGUGCUUAAUGUGAUUUGAAAUAUGUCGACUCAAAAGUGAAAUAUUUAUUUUUUGAAUAAAGGAGAUAAUAGCCUUAAA